UACGAAGGGAGCUAGCGUUGUUCGGAUUUACUGGGCGUAAAGGGCGCGCAGGCGGCUCAUUUUGUCAGGCGUGAAAGCCCCGGGCUUAACCUGGGAGGUGCGUUUGAUACGGAUGGGCUGGAGUUCGGGAGAGGCGAGUGGAAUUCCUGGUGUAGCGGUGGAAUGCGCAGAUAUCAGGAGGAACACCAAUAGCGAAGGCAGCUCGCUGGGACGGUACUGACGCUAAGGCGCGAAAGCGUGGGGAGCGAACAGG
rnacentral:rRNA from 1 species